rnacentral:tRNA from 1 species
UGUCCAGGUAGGGGAAUCGAACCCACAUUGUUCCGCUUACCGGGCAGAUGCCAUGUCCACUAGGCUACCCUGGAC